UACGAAGGGGGCUAGCGUUGUUCGGAAUCACUGGGCGUAAAGCGCACGCAGGCGGAUUGAUAAGUCAGGGGUGAAAUCCCGGAGCUCAACUUCGGAAUUGCCUUUGAUACUGUCUGUCUUGAGUCCGGGAGAGGUGAGUGGAAUUCCUAGUGUAGAGGUGAAAUUCGUAGAUAUUAGGAAGAACACCGGUGGCGAAGGCGGCCCACUGGAUCGGUACUGACGCUGAGGUGCGAAAGCGUGGGGGAGCAAAACAGGA
rnacentral:rRNA from 1 species